UGAACAGUCGACCGAUUGGGUUCUUCUUUCUCUUCCAAAAUAAGAGAAAAAGAGCCGGAGGUCUGAUGGUCGGAAGCCCUAGGGAGCAGCUACUGUCUGUGAGGUGGCGCCAAAUCGCAGACAACUUACAAACAGUCCUCAGUUGAUCCUCUACCGUGCUCUCACUUUGCACCUCUCUCACUCUCUCUGUUUCUCCUUGUUUCUCCGAAAUAAUCAACAUUAGAAAUGGGCGGAUCAGGUACCCGACUGGCGCCAUGUAAGCUCAUCUGCGUCUCGCCGCGCCUUGCUCUUCACACUAAUUAGGGGACGUUUGUGUGGGGGAUUCCUAUCCACACAGUUCGUUUUAGGUCUCCGAUGGGUAGAGCAG
ensembl:ncRNA F35G2.14 ncRNA